rnacentral:lncRNA from 1 species
UUCAACACUCUGGCCGGGCGAGGCUCGUGGGCUCCAGUUUCAGCCACGUAGGACCGGGUAGAACACAGAAAUUCUAGUUUCCUCUCGGUAGAGAUGGGGUUUCACCAUAUUGGCUAUGCUGGUCUCGAACUCCUGACCUUGUGAUCCACCUGCCUUGGCCUCCCAAAGUGCUGGGAUUACAGGAUGAAAGGCUUCCUAGCACAAACACCACCCCUGGAGUUCCCGGUACAUCAAUACCAGCCUGGGGAUCACGUUCUCAUCAAGAGUUGGAAGAGGGAAAGCUUGAACCAGCUUAGGAGGACCUCAUCUGGUACUCUUGAUGAAUGAAACAGCAAUCUGAAUGGCUGAAAAAGGAUGGACCCAGCACUCCAGGGAGAAAACUUGGCAUUCUUUGGGAAUCUAACAGGAUGCAGUGAACCCAAGCCUUUUGAAGAGCUCACCAAUCAGACUGCCCUUGUCUAUCCAUGAGCAGAUGUUUGAUAGUAUUGCGGAGGCCCUCUAGUGGGUAUGCUGCCAAGCAACUGGAGUGGCACUUGGGCUCUAAUCCAGUUGUCUAUCCCUUUCACCCUGGCAUUUCAUCAGCCAAACAAAAACCAACUAACUCAGAAAAAAAGGAAAGCCCCUCAAGGGUCCUUUGACCCCGAUAUCUACAUAGAUGCUAUCGGGGUCCCCUGAGGGGUACCAAACGAAUUCAAAGCUCGAAAUCAAAUAGCUGCUGGAUUCAAGUCUGUCCUUUUCUUGUGGUCUACUAUAAAUAAAAAUGUAGACUGGAUAAAUUACAUAUACUAUAACCAACAA